rnacentral:rRNA from 1 species
AAUCAACGCUGGCGGCGCGCUUAACACAUGCAAGUCGAACGAGAAAGUGGAGCAAUCCAUGAGUAAAGUGGCGUACGGGUGAGUAACACGUGGAUUAUUUGCCCUUGAGUGGGGAAUAACAAUGGGAAACCGUUGCUAAUACCGCAUAUUCCCGAGAGGGGAAAGCAGCAAUGCGCUCAAGGAGAAGUCCGCGGCCGAUUAGCUAGUUGGUAGGGUAAUGGCCUACCAAGGCUGCGAUCGGUAGCCGGCCUGAGAGGGCACACGGCCACA